rnacentral:rRNA from 1 species
AGUGAACGCUGGCGGCAUGCCUUACACAUGCAAGUCGAACGGUAACGCGGGGCAACCUGGCGACGAGUGGCGAACGGGUGAGUAAUGUAUCGGAACGUGCCCAGUUGUGGGGGAUAACUGCUCGAAAGAGCACCUAAUACCGCAUACGACCUGAGGGUGAAAGCGGGGGAUCGCAAGACCUCGCGCAAUUGGAGCGGCCGAUAUCAGAUUAGGUAGUUGGUGGGGUAAAGGCUCACCAAGCCGACGACCUGUAGCUGGUCUGAGAGGACGACCAGCCACACUGGGACUGAGACACGGCCCAGACUCCUACGGGAGGCAGCAGUGGGGAAUUUUGGACAAUGGACGCAAGUCUGAUCCAGCCAUGCCGCGUGCGGGAAGAAGGCCUUCGGGUUGUAAACCGCUUUUGUCAGGGAAGAAAAGGCUCCUUCUAAUAUAGGGGGCUCAUGACGGUACCUGAAGAAUAAGCACCGGCUAACUACGUGCCAGCAGCCGCCGUAA